GCCUGGGCAUACUUGCGCAUCCGGUCAAGUAUCUCAUUGUAGGUGUUGGGUAUAAAAUACCCUCAGCCAAAGUUCUUAACAGGAUUGACCCUCCCGAGACUCCUCCAGCUGUCAACCGCAGACGGUAUCUCCCCGGACUUCUCCAACAGUCGGAUUCCCACAGUGCUGACUGAAUUUCCCUGACAGACGAACUCCAACUACACCACCCGAGC
rnacentral:lncRNA from 1 species